GCCAGACUCCUACGGGAGGCAGCAGUGGGGAAUAUUGCACAAUGGGGGAAACCCUGAUGCAGCGACGCCGCGUGAGCGAAGAAGUAUUUCGGUAUGUAAAGCUCUAUCAGCAGGGAAGAAAAAAAUGACGGUACCUGAGUAAGAAGCACCGGCUAAAUACGUGCCAGCAGCCGCGGUAAUACGUAUGGUGCAAGCGUUAUCCGGAUUUACUGGGUGUAAAGGGAGCGUAGGCGGCGCGUUAAGUCUGAUGUGAAAGCCCGGGGCCCAACCCCGGGACUGCUCUUGGAACUGCGCGGCUGGAGUGCAGGAGGGGCAGGCGGAAUUCCUGGUGUAGCGGUGAAAUGCGUAGAUAUCAGGAGGAACACCGGUGGCGAAGGCGGCCUGCUGGACUGCGACUGACGUUGAGGCCCGAAAGCGUGGGGAGCAAACAGGAUUAGAUACCCCGGUA
rnacentral:rRNA from 1 species